UACAGAGGGUGCAAGCGUUAAUCGGAGUUACUGGGCGUAAAGGGCGCGUAGGCGGAUAUUUAAGUGAGCUGUGAAAUCCCUGGGCUUAACCUAGGAACUGCGGUUUAAACUGGAUAUCUGGAGUACUGUAGAGGGUAGUGGAAUUUCCGGUGUAGCGGUGAAAUGCGUAGAGAUCGGAAGGAACACCAGUGGCGAAGGCGGCUACCUGGACAAAUACUGACGCUGAUGCGCGAGAGCGUGGGGAGCAAACAGG
rnacentral:rRNA from 1 species